rnacentral:tRNA from 1 species
GUGGGUGUAGCUCAAUUGGUUAGAGCGUCGGUUUGUGGAACCGAAGGCCACGGGUUCAAGUCCCGCCAUCCACCCCA